GGUUUCGUGGUCUAGUUGGUUAUGGCACCUGCUUAACACGCAGAACGUCCCUAGUCCGACCCUGAGCGAAAUCA
rnacentral:tRNA from 1 species